AGUAAAGGUAGUUUCGGUUCCGAUGUAGCAUGUACUUGCGCAAUGGAUUUUAGUAAAAAGUAUAUUUCGUUGAAAAGUAAUGAGUACUUACAGAAACGCUGUCUAAUCGACUCGCCCAGUACUUGUGGGCGCUUUGAUUUUUCAAGUGAACGUACGUAUCGAUGUACAAUUAAACAAGUUCUCCGUCGACUGCCAAAAAGUGGAACAGUCCUGCCGUUUCUUCGAUCUCUGCUGAAAAAUAAAUGCAACUUUGUUCGUACGCGUUUGUCGAUCGUGUUACGAAGCAGAGAUUGAACGAGGAAACCGAAAGGGGCAAACGAAAACAAAAGAUCAAGAGAACGGGGUACGUUAAUCGGCAAGACGAAUAUCGUUGAGCACGAGAAAAAUGACGAUAUCAAAAGAAUCGAUCAAUGUCCAUCCCAUCCGCGCGUGCAAACGCAGAAGAGGCAAUUCGGUCGUCUGUAUUAUUGCGUUGAACUAACGGAAGACCGGUCACUGUCCGUCGACGCGGUGUCCGACGGCGGUACCGAUGACGACGCCGGAACCGGUGAAUCGGACGCGACGUAAUGCUCUCGGUAGAUUUUCCCCGACGUCUGGAGCAAUGGAAGCGGAAGCGGUGGCGGCGGUGGCGGCGGUGGCGAUGAUAAUGCCAUAUUCACAUUUUCGGGCAGAGGUGGUAAAACGUUACUUUGAAAUUGCCCGGAUAUAUUGCCAACCGGCUGAUAAUUGGCGACUACGAUCACUUUGCCACUUCUACUGCGAGCUUUCCCGACACCAAAGUAACGACUGUUUGCCCAAAUUAAUUGCGUGAAAUGACCUACCAUGGAUAAAACACAUAUAAAUUACAACACACGAGAAAUUCCGCCCAGUUCAUAUUCCGUAUUUUUGUAUUUUCGAGAUACCUGCGUUCACGUUGGCGUGAAGAAUAUCGGGUUCUUUCAAGAAAUUGUACUGCUUCACCGCGGAAUACCAGUAGGAUGCAACGUCUUGUCCCGUUACGUCUGUAGGAACUGCACCACCUGGUCGGCAGUAAAGAUUCUGUCCCACCUCCCGAUCGUUUCUAUAAUAAAAUGUGUUCGUGUGCGCCAAAUGAUUGGCCCAUGUUUGAGCGUACUCACACAACUGUAAAAGCAAACGGAAAACAUCGGUCAGACGUAGAUAAUCAAUUGUAUCGAAUUUUAUAGUCUUAUCGCACUGACGAUUGAAGAAAAAAAAAUGAAAAAAAGAACAAAUUACGCGUCAAAAUCGGUAGAUGGGUAUUGUGUCGGUGGCAAUGUCGUCUGUAUCCUUUACCGUUUCACUUGCGAUUGUAAUCGAUCAGUGCUUUUAUUCAUCAUCAUAUUAUCAUCAUAUCAUCAUCAUAUCAUCAUCAUAUCAUCAUCAUAUCAAUAUCACAUCAUCAUCAUUUUCAUCCUCAUCUCAUUAUUAUCUCAUUGUCUUCGUCGUCGUCGUC